GACGAACGCUGGCGGCGUGCUUAACACAUGCCAGUCGAACGGUGAAGCGAGUGCUUGCACUCGUGGAUCAGUGGCGAACGGGUGAGUAACACGUGAGUAACCUGCCCAUCACUCUGGGAUAAGCACUGGAAACGGUGUCUAAUACUGGAUACGACCAACCCUUGCAUGGGGUGUUGGUGGAAAGAUUUAUCGGUGAUGGAUGGACUCGCGGCCUAUCAGCUUGUUGGCGGGGUAAUGGCCCACCAAGGCGACGACGGGUAGCCGGCCUGAGAGGGUGGCCGGCCACACUGGGACUGAGACACGGCCCAGACUCCUACGGGAGGCAGCAGUGGGGAAUAUUGCACAAUGGGCGAAAGCCUGAUGCAGCGACGCCGCGUGAGGGAUGACGGCCUUCGGGUUGUAAACCUCUUUCAGCAGGGAAGAAGCGAAAGUGACGGUACCUGCAGAAGAAGCACCGGCUAACUACGUG
rnacentral:rRNA from 1 species